CAAGAUUUAGUCCACUUAAAAUGAGUGGGGUGUAUGGGCUUUGUCACUAAGACAUGGCCCAGUAUGGUUUUUUGCCAUGGCCUAUGGUAUUUUAUAAGUUUUUAUUCAUUAAGGUCUUAUUAUGCCUGCAAAAUGAUGGGACAAUUUGAACCGUUCGGUUCAUUUAGAACCGUCCGGUUCCACCGGUUCAUCGGUCCGACUGCUGGUUUAGGCGGUUUGUGAUUG
rnacentral:lncRNA from 1 species